AGUCUGGUGCCAGCAGCCGCGGUAAUUCCAGCUCCAAUAGCGUAUAUUAUUAUUGUUGCGGUUAAAAAGCUCGUAGUUGGAUCUCGGUUUCGGGCGAGCGGUGUACCUUGCGGUAUUUACUGUUUGCCCGGACGAUUUUGUUGGUUCGUUUAUGGUUCUCUUAACCGAGUGCCAUAAGUGGCCAGCACGUUUACUUUGAAAAAAUUGGAGUGCUCAAAGCAGGCGCUACAGCCUGAACAUUAGUGCAUGGAAUAAUGGAAUAGGAUCUCGGUUCUAUUUCGUUGGCUUUCGGAGUCGAGGUAAUGAUUAAUAGGGACAGACGGGGGCAUUCGUACUGCGACGUUAGAGGUGAAAUUCUUGGAUCGUCGCAAGACGAACUACUGCGAAAGCAUUUGCCAAGAAUGUUUUCAUUAAUCAAGAACGAAAGUUAGAGGUUCGAAGGCGAUCAGAUACCGCCCUAGUUCUAACCAUAAACGAUGUCGACCGGCGAUCCGUUAUCGUUAACUGAAUGACUUAACGGGCAGCCUCCGGGAAACCAGAGUGUUUGGAUUCCGGGGGAAGUAUGGUUGCAAAGCUGAAACUUAAAAGAAUUGACGGAAGGGCACCACCAGGAGUGGAGCCUGCGGCUUAAUUUGACUCAACACGGGAAAUCUCACCAGGCCCGGACACCGGAAGGAUUGACAGAUUGAGAGCUCUUUCUUGAUUCGGUGGGUGGUGGUGCAUGGCCGUUCUUAGUUGGUGGAGCGAUUUGUCUGGUUAAUUCCGAUAACGAACGAGACUCUGGCCUACUAACUAGACGUUAGAUCCCUUUGUGGGUCUAUCGCAGCUUCUUAGAGGGACGGGCGGCGUUUAGCCGCGCGAGAUUGAGCAAUAACAGGUCUGUGAUGUCCUUAGAUGUUCUGGGCUGCACGCGCGCUACACUGAAGGAAUCAGCGUGUGUUCCCUACCCGAAAGGGUUGGGAAACCCGUUGAACCUCCUUCGUGAUGGGGAUUGGGGAUUGCAAUUAUUCCCCAUGAACGAGGAAUUCCCAGUAGGCGCGAGUCAUAAGCUUGCGUCGAUUACGUCCCUGCCCUUUGUACACACCGCCCGUCGCUACUACCGAUCGAGUGAUUUAGUGAGGCCUUCGGACUGGUCUUCAGUAUGGCUUUCGGGUCGUGUUGGAGUACCGGAAAGAUGACCAAACUUGAUCACUUAGAGGAAGUAAAAGUC
rnacentral:rRNA from 1 species